AGUGAACGCUGGCGGCAGGCCUAACACAUGCAAGUCGAGCGGCAGCGGGUUCCCGCGAGGGGAUGCCGGCGAGCGGCGGACGGGUGAGGAACACAUCGGAAUCUGCCUGGUUGUGGGGGAUAACGUAGGGAAACUUACGCUAAUACCGCAUGAGACCCUGAGUCGACGGACUGGGGGUGAAAGUGAGGGACCUUCGGGCCUCACGCGACCAGAUGAGCCGAUGUCGGAUUAGCUAGUUGGCGGGGUAACGGCCCGCCAAGGCGACGAUCCGUAGCUGGUCUGAGAGGAUGAUCAGCCACACUGGGACUGAGACACGGCCCAGACUCCUACGGGAGGCAGC
rnacentral:rRNA from 1 species